AUAAUUAAUAAAUUUAUGCUUUGUUUCAUAAAAUGCAUAUAAAUAAGGAAAUAUGAAUAAAAUAACAAUAGAAUCAUUUUUGUAAAUGUCAAUCAUAGUUCAAUAAUUCAUUUUUUAAAUACUGUAUGCGAAAAACUCAAAUGAUUCAAUUAGAAUACCAAAUCCUCGAUUUAUCAGACUCAAAAUGUUUUCUAUGAAGAUUUAUGCUACUUUCUAUUUGGUGAAUGCUAAGUGCUGAGACAUUACAGUGUCCUCAUCCCUGGUGAAAUUAGCCAUUAUAUGGAGGGUGGCUUUAAUUAUCUGUGCUUAGACUCCUCCUGAAAAACUGUAAAUGUGGAACAGGAAUUAAACUCUGAUCCUUCACAGUAGAACACAGAAACUUCCAUUGUAGCCAUCAAUCUGAACAUAGAAAAUAAAGUCAUAUAAUGUAAAAAGAAUAAUUACAAUCUUAAUAUUUUAAGAAAAAACACAAUUUAUUUUAUAUAUAUUAUAUUGGAUGAAUGGUUCCUGUAAGCCACAACUUUGGGAACCUAUAGUUUGGGUAUGUCUAAAAAAACCACAUAUGAACAUAGAUCCAAAUUUGAAUGAUUUCAGAAUUAUAAUUGAUUUAAUUGUAAAAGAAUGUUACAGAGAAGCAGAUCUAUAUUUGAUAGUGUUUAUUUUUAAACUAAUGUUACAUAUUUAUAAUAGAUAUUCAAUAUCUCAAUACUCAAUGCAGCUUGUUUGUGAAUAGCACAAAUAACUUGCUUUAACCCAUUGUGUUUAAUGAAUACUACAACAUCCAAAAUAUGAUGAAGCAAUUCCUGUUGUAUUUCCAUCUUUCUCACAUAAACCAACACUUUUAUCAUUCUGCAUAAACAAUAUUCUAAAAGGUUAAAUGCAGAAAUUUAAGUGGCCAAACACCAACAAAUUCAGAUCUACUUCUUCUAUGUAGCUUUUUUUUUUUACAGGUAAAUCAAUU
rnacentral:lncRNA from 1 species